rnacentral:rRNA from 1 species
AUGUUGAGCGUCCAUGUUAGGAUGGUGUCACGUCCAACUACAGUGGGGACGACAUCCCGAUGUGGUGUAUCAUGGAGUAUAUCAUGUGGUGGUUGGCACCACCACACCAUCUACUGUGGUGAUGCAAGUGCGAGGACCUUGUCCCUCGCACCAUCGCCAUAUGGACAGAUGUGCUGCUUCUUACAAACUUACUCUUUGCUUCCUGUAAUCCAAGUCCAUGAUCAUGCGACCGAGCUAGGAAAAUUUGAUGAACAAAUGAAAGGUAAAUGGAUAAGAACUCUACAUACUAAAAUGCUUCAACAAUGGAAAUAUCCCUACGGCAAAAAGAACAAUACCUAG